GGCCAAGGUCCUGGAGGGAGAUACAGAGAUCUACUAUAAUACAGGCCAAGGUCCUGGAGGGAGAUACAGAGAUCUACUAUAAUACAGGCCAAGGUCCUGGAGGGAGAUACAGAGAUCUACUAUAAUACAGGCCAAGGUCCUGGAGGGAGACACAGAGAUCUACUAUAAUACAGACCAAGGUCCUGGAGGGAGAUACAGAGAUCUACUAUAAUACAGGCCAAGGUCCUGGAGGGAGAUACAGAGAUCUACUAUAAUACAGGCCAAGGUCCUGGAGGGAGAUACAGAGAUCUACUAUAAUACAGGCCAAGGUCCUGGAGGGAGAUACAGAGAUCUACUAUAAUACAGGCCAAGGUCCUGGAGGGAGACACAGAGAUCUACUAUAAUACAGGCCAAGGUCCUGGAGGGAGACACAGAGAUCUACUAUAAUACAGGCCAAGGUCCUGGAGGGAGACACAGAGAUCUACUAUAAUACAGGCCAAGGUCCUGGAGGGAGAUACAGAGAUCUACUAUAAUACAGGCCAAGGUCCUGGAGGGAGAUACAGAGAUCUACUAUAAUACAGGCCAAGGUCCUGGAGGGAGAUACAGAGAUCUACUAUAACACAGGCCAAGGUCCUGGAGGGAGAUACAGAGAUCUACUAUAAUACAGGCCAAGGUCCUGGAGGGAGAUACAGAGAUCUACUAUAAUACAGGCCAAGGUCCUGGAGGGAGAUACAGAGAUCUACUAUAAUACAGGCCAAGGUCCUGGAGGGAGAUACAGAGAUCUACUAUAAUACAGGCCAAGGUCCUGGAGGGAGAUACAGAGAUCUACUAUAAUACAGGCCAAGGUCCUGGAGGGAGAUACAGAGAUCUACUAUAAUACAGGCCAAGGUCCUGGAGGGAGAUACAGAGAUCUACUAUAAUACAGGCCAAGGUCCUGGAGGGAGAUACAGAGAUCUACUAUAAUACAGGCCAAGGUCCUGGAGGGAGAUACAGAGAUCUACUAUAACACAGGCCAAGGUCCUGGAGGGAGAUACAGAGAUCUACU